rnacentral:rRNA from 1 species
CCCUUAGAUGUUCUGGGCCGCACGCGCGCUACACUGACGAUGGCAACGAGUUUUUCCUUCGCCGAAAGGUGUGGGUAAUCUUUUGAAACAUCGUCGUGCUGGGGAUAGAUCAUUGCAAUUUUUGAUCUUGAACGAGGAAUUCCUAGUAAGCGCGAGUCAUCAGCUCGCGUUGAUUACGUCCCUGCCCUUUGUACACACCGCCCGUCGCUACUACCGAUUGAAUGGUUUAGUGAGGACUCCUGAUUGGCGCCGCCGCCCCGGCAACGGAGCAGCGGACUGCCGAAAAGUUGUUCAAACUUGAUCAUUUAGAGGAAGGAGAAGUCGUAACA